UUUUUUUUUUUUUUUUUUUUUUUUUUUUUUUUUUUUUUUUUUUUU
rnacentral:ncRNA from 6 species